rnacentral:tRNA from 1 species
CGCGGAGUGGAGCAGUUGGCAGCUCGUCGGGCUCAUAACCCGAAGGUCGUGGGUUCAAGUCCUACCUCCGCAA